GCGAACGCUGGCGGCAGGCUUAACACAUGCAAGUCGAACGGGCAUAGCAAUAUGUCAGUGGCAGACGGGUGAGUAAUGCAUCGGAACGUACCCAGUCGUGGGGGAUAACUACGCGAAAGCGUAGCUAAUACCGCAUACGCCCUGAGGGGGAAAGCGGGGGACCUUCGGGCCUCGCGCGAUUGGAGCGGCUGAUGUCGGAUUAGCUAGUUGGUGGGGUAAAGGCCUACCAAGGCGACGAUCCGUAGCUGGUCUGAGAGGAUGAUCAGCCACACUGGGACUGAGACACGGCCCAGACUCCUACGGGAGGCAGCAGUGGGGAAUUUUGGACAAUGGGCGCAAGCCUGAUCCAGCCAUGCCGCGUGAGUGAAGAAGGCCUUCGGGUUGUAAAGCUCUUUCAGACGGAAAGAAAUCGGGCGCGUGAAUAGCGUGCCUGGAUGACGGUACUGUCAGAAGAAGCACCGGCUAACUACGU
rnacentral:rRNA from 1 species